rnacentral:antisense_RNA from 1 species
CUAAUUUUUUGUUAAUAUUAUCAUGUCCUUCACCACUGAUGAGGACUUUAAUUUCAGUAGG